rnacentral:rRNA from 1 species
GAUGAACGCUGGCGGCAGGCCUAAUACAUGCAAGUCGAACGAUAUCUUCCAGCUUGCUGGAAGAGAAAGUGGCGCACGGGUGCGUAACGCGUAUGCAACCUACCUUUAUCAGGGGGAUAGCCCGGAGAAAUCCGGAUUAAUACCGCAUAACAUCAUUGGAUAGCAUUAUUUUAUGAUCAAACAUUUAUGGGAUAAAGAUGGGCAUGCGUGUCAUUAGCUAGUUGGCGGGGUAACGGCCCACCAAGGCGACGAUGACUAGGGGAUCUGAGAGGAUGGCCCCCCACACUGGUACUGAGACACGGACCAGACUCCUACGGAAGGCAGCAGUAAGGAAUAUUGGUCAAUGGAGGGAACUCUGAACCAGCCAUGCCGCGUGCAGGAAGACUGCCCUAUGGGUUGUAAACUGCUUUUAUCCGGGAAUAAACCUGAGUACGUGUACUUAGCUGAAUGUACCGGAAGAAUAAGGAUCGGCUAACUCCGUGCCAGCCGCCGCCGUAAGAC